CGCCGCGGUAAACGUAGGGGACAAGCGUUUCCGGAUUCACUGGGCGUAAAGAGCGUUGAGGCGGUUCCGUAAGUUGGGCGUGAAAGCUCCGGGCUUAACCCGGAGAUGUCGUUCAAUACUGCGGGGCUUGAGGACAGCAGAGGAAGGUGGAAUUCCCGGUGUAGUGGUGAAAUGCGUAGAUAUCGGGAGGAACACCCGUGGCGAAGGCGGCCUUCUGGGCUGUUCCUGACGCUGAAGGCGAAAGCUAGGGGAGCGAACGGGAUUAGAUACCCCGGUAGUCCUAGCUGUAAACGAUGGAUGCUGGGUGUGGGGGGUGUAAAUUCCCUCUGUGCCGAAGCAAACGCGUUAAGCAUCCCGCCUGGGGACUACGGCCGCAAGGCUAAAACUCAAACGAAUUGACGGGGGCCCGCACAAGCAGCGGAGCGUGUGGUUUAAUUCGAUGCUACACGAAGAACCUUACCUGGGUUUGACAUGCACGUGGUAGGGAACCGAAAGGGGACCGACCUUCGGGAGCGUGCACAGGUGCUGCAUGGCUGUCGUCAGCUCGUGCCGUGAGGUGUCGGGUUAAGUCCCGUAACGAGCGCAACCCUUGCCCUUAGUUACAAGUGUCUAAGGGGACUGCCCGGGACAACUGGGAGGAAGGUGGGGAUGACGUCAAGUCAGCAUGGCCUUUAUAUCCAGGGCUACACACACGCUACAAUGGCCCUUCAACGGGCACUCCAAAAUGUUUUCAAGUGUGAGGGGGGACCCAUCAAAAACCUGUUCCAAUGUCAGUCUGCAACUCGUCAGCACGAAGCAGGAGUUGCUAGUAAUCGCAGGUCAGCCAUACUGCGGGAAUA
rnacentral:rRNA from 1 species